GCUGGGGGAAGCAAUGCUGAAGCCCUGAGCACAUGGCAGGCCUGGCAGGCCUGGCAGGCCGGCCUCUGUACUUACUCCAGCCUGGCCUGCCCAGGAGGGGACUGGGGGACGGGUGGGCUCUCAGGGGCCCUGAGUAGGGGAGAUGAGAGGAAGAGAUGGUAACUGUGGUGUCAGCUCCAUGGUUGCUCAUACCAACACAGAGCUAGGCAGUGAUAUUGGGGUUCCUUCCCAGCCGCAGUGGGAAGGGGGAGAAGGUAUGACACGAGGAAACUGGAAGUGGAGGGGAGAGACUGAUGUGGAGCAGGACAGGGUGCAGGAAGAGACAGAGGCAGCAGAACAAGGGAGUGACAGAUAGUGGGCGGGAGACAUGACAAGAGGCAAAGACAGGCAGAACGUCGGAGGAGACAAAGGAAACCACAGGAGGAGGAGAUCCAGUCAGAGCCGAACCCCACCCGCUGGCAGUCACUUACCAAACGGGAGCAGUUUGGUGAAGUCUGGAAAGAGAGAGAGAGAAGAAAGCACGCGUUUGGGCAGAGGAGGCUGAGUGCCCAUGGAGGGGCGCAAAGCGGAGGGACAGUGGGAGAGAGGACUCCAGGGUGGCCUCUGUCUCCCUACUUACUUGUAGAUGCUCCUCUCGCUGGAGGUGUCAGCUGAGGGUGCCACAGAGAUGGUAGGAAAAAGGUUCACUGAAGCUUGGAGACCGAAGGAAGGACCCACAGGGCUGGAGGCGGGGCCUGUCAACAGGGCGGGGCCGGUGGAAGAGAGCGUAGGGCCCGGCCCACCUCGUAGAGCACAAGCUGCGUGCGCAGGUCAACGUCAGUGCCCGCAGUGCCCAGGUGGCGCUGGACCAGCGCUUCCAUGCCCUGCUGCUCCAGUGCAUCCGUCACAUCGUAGAAGGAGUCCUGGUCCGGGAGCGCCGCCAGCGUCUAGAGGGCGGGGAUAAGAAGGCAAGGCUGAGGUUGGUGGGGAAGUCAGGAGCUUGAGCAUCCCAGAGCUGGCACCCAGUCCUUGGCCACACCUUGUUGAUGAGGGUGACCGUGUACACCAACAACUCAGGGUCAGCGCCAUUCUUCUCCUCCAGGAUGGACACCAGAUUGGCCCAGGGAAGAGCACCUGCCACAAAGAAAGUGGAGCAGUCAUGGGGGAAUAGGUAGGAGAGAAGGCUCUGAGCGGUGGGGGAGAAAGGGACAGUCUCUGACCGGUGGUGCUGGCCACAGAGUUCACUGCACGGAUGAACAGCGGUGCGUUGUUUUCAGAGUAUUCUACAAACACCAACAGCAGCUUCAGGGCUGUCUUCACCACCAAGCGGGACUGAGGAAAGAGGUCAGCACAUAUGAGUGGGGCUUAGGCCAGACCUGUGCCAGCUGUUGCUGGGG
rnacentral:lncRNA from 1 species